rnacentral:rRNA from 1 species
GAUGAACGCUGGCGGCGUGCUUAACACAUGCAAGUCGAACGGAAAGGCUCCUGCUUGCAGGGGUACUCGAGUGGCGAACGGGCGAGUAACACGUGGGUGAUCUGCCCUGCACUUCGGGAUAAGCCUGGGAAACUGGGUCUAAUACCGGAUAGGACGAUGGUUUGGAUGCCAUUGUGGAAAGUUUUUUCGGUGUGGGAUGAGCUCGCGGCCUAUCAGCUUGUUGGUGGGGUAAUGGCCUACCAAGGCGUCGACGGGUAGCCGGCCUGAGAGGGUGUACGGCCACAUUGGGACUGAGAUACGGCCCAGACUCCUACGGGAGGCAGCAGUGGGGAAUAUUGCACAAUGGGCGCAAGCCUGAUGCAGCGACGCCGCGUGGGGGAUGACGGCCUUCGGGUUGUAAACUCCUUUCGCUAGGGACGAAGCGCAAGUGACGGUACCUGGAGAAGAAGCACCGGCUAACUACGUG